AAAUAACCUUGGUGCCGAUUAUUGUGAAGUAAAUUGAGGUUAAAUAUUUCAACGCGUUGUCAUUUUCACUUGUGAUGUUGGUUUUAGUUUGUUUUCAUUUUUUCGUUUCAUUUUGCUUUUUAACUUGGGAAACAAUCGCCUUGUAUUUGGAACAUAGACUUCGGUAAAUGUUUACCUGCGAAAAUGAUUAAAUCUGAUGCAUUAACAACGUACUAAAGUGCAUUUCCCUCUGUUUUUAUUGUUUAUUGAUUAAUUUUCUAAUUGUUCCAACAAGGAUCAAACAAGUGUGUUGGUGUUAGCUUGUUCGGAUUUUCGUUUCGUUUUCAUUAUUUACGCUUUUAAACCUGGAAACUAUCGUCUACAGGUAUUUCGUGAUUUUUACGUAUCAAUUCAAACAGAUACUUCGGUAAAUCAAACAGUUAACUGUUUACCUGCGCAAAUUAAGCAAAAUCUGAUGUAGGGGUACUGAAAUACAAUUCCUUCUAUCGGUAAUUCGGCAUUUUCUUUUGAUAUCGCUGACGGAAAUAUGUAGGUAUAUACAUGUAUAUAUAUAUGAUUCAUUUCGAAAAAAUAAAUUGUGUUCUUUAUU
rnacentral:sRNA from 1 species